CGACUGUGGCGGCGAAUUAGUGAGGUUGUGGUGCGACGUGAACAGAUGGCGAAAUUACUUAAGACGAGGAAGUUAUUGACUUACUAAUAUACGUUUUGGUGGCUUCUGCCCAUUAUUUAGGCAAAUGUCCGGCUUCAUUGAGGAAAAAACCUGCAUGUUACCACGCAUAGCGCUCAUAGCGUGUGGAUGCUUUAGCCCUCCAACGCCUAUGCAUUUGCGCUUGUUCGAGAUAGCACGAGAUUACUUUGAACUUCGUGGUACACACAAGGUUGUGGGUGGCAUUAUAUCACCCACACAUGAUUCCUAUGGCAAGAAGGGACUGGCGCCUUCGAUAGAUCGCUGCGCGAUGAUAAAGCUUGCGGUUCAGACCUCCACCUGGAUACGUUUAUCAGACUGGGAGGUACACCAGCCGCAAUGGAUGCGCACACAAUCCGUGCUGCAGCAUCACCAGAACUACCUAAAUAACUAUAUCAACUCGCCGGGGGAUGAGGAGCAAAAUGGUCUACUACCUGGUUGGUUGCCACUUGGUCUUCGGGAACGUCGUGAUCCCAUAAGUCUAAAGCUGUUAUGUGGCGCCGAUUUACUAGAAUCGUUUGCAGUGCCCGGCUUGUGGGCCAAUGAGGAUAUUGAAGAAAUAGUGGCGAACCAUGGACUAGUUGUCAUAUCCCGCUGUGGCUCAAAUCCUGAAAAAUUUAUAUUUGAAUCGGAUAUUCUAACCAAAUAUCAGCGCAACAUAACGCUUAUUACAAACUGGGUGCCCAACGAAGUCAGCUCUUCUCUGGUGCGUCGUCUCCUAAAUCGCGGUGAAUCGGUCAAGUAUCUUCUAGAUGACCUGGUGCUCAGUUAUAUAAACCGUCAGGGGUUGUACAAUGUGAAAUCGCAGGAUACUCCGCCUGAGGGCAAAGCAUGACGCUGUCUGCACUGCACCUUGCACCAUUUAGAAAUAGCACCAACAGAUCGACAAACGCAGGAGCACCACCAACAUCAACACCACCAUCAGCAAAAAUAUUACCACUAUCAGCAAUCAACUCAAGAUCUACUCGUGCAGUGGCGCCUGUUCAUGGAGUUGUACGUAUCAGCUUAGGUUGCACCCAAUUUCUUUUAAAGAAUAACCCAUUCAUAUAACACACUAUAACUUGUUGUUGUUGUUGUUGUAUUGACACGCAUACAUUUAUGAUGGAUUGUAAAUUCAGUGAAAUUGGACAAUGAUCAAUCGGAACAGCUAAUGGAUGAGUCGGACAGUCCGCUUAGGCAG
rnacentral:misc_RNA from 1 species